rnacentral:misc_RNA from 1 species
ACACCCAUCAAGCCUGGCUUGGUAUUGGGCGACGGGACCUCCCCGCGCCCCGAUUUCGCCGGCUGGACGUAUUCCGAUCUCAGGCGCUGUAAUAAGCCUUCGCUGGAGUGACGGACGGCGACGCCGUUAACCUUUUAAUCAA